GACGAACGCUGGCGGCGUGCUUUACACAUGCAAGUCGAACGGUGAAGGUGGAGCUUGCUCCGCCGGAUCAGUGGCGAACGGGUGAGUAACACGUGGGCAACCUGCCCCUAACUUUGGGAUAACUACUCGAAAGAGUAGCUAAUACCGGAUACGAAGUCUGUAGGCAUCUACGGAUUUGGAAAGUUUUUCGGUUAGGGAUGGGCCCGCGGCCUAUCAGCUUGUUGGUGAGGUAGUGGCUCACCAAGGCGACGACGGGUAGCCGGCCUGGGAGGGCGACCGGCCACACUGGGACUGAGCCCCGGCCCAGACUCCUACGGGAGGCAGCAGUGGGGAAUAUUGCGCAAUGGGCGAAAGCCUGACGCAGCAACGCCGCGUGCGGGAUGAAGGCCUUCGGGUUGUAAACCGCUUUCAGCAGGGAAGAAGCGAAAGUGACGGUACCUGCAGAAGAAGCACCGGCUAACUACGUGCCAGCAGCCGCCGUAAUAC
rnacentral:rRNA from 1 species